GUACAUUUACAGAGAAGACCCAAACUUCCUUUGCGUACCAAGCAGCAACCAAAUGCGCAUGAAGUUCAUCGUCGUGUUGUCCAUCAUUUCAUGUAUGCUAGCCUUCGGAAAGCGUUGCUUUUUCACUCUGCUUCAAUUGUUCAAUAAAGGAGCUAUAGAGCGCUCAUCUCCUGGCUCUUGAACAGAGUUUGACUGGGUGCUAAUUCUGCGUUCUACACUGAGAACGUUAACACAUAGAAAGAAAAGUACACUGAAAAGCCACAAAUCAGUGGGCACAGCAAUUCAUCAUGUAUGAAGAUAAACUGAUGACAGCAGACACCAAGAGAUAUGAAGAUGAGGAGAUGUUACUGCAAGAGAAAAGCUCUCAGUCAUCAGCAUCAAAGUCGUCUGCCAACAGUGCAGCUGCCAAAGCCAGAGCCUUAGCUGAGGCUGCUUUGGCUAAGGUAGCUUUUGUUAAGAAGGAACUUCAAAUCAAAAAAGAGAAAGCAAGACUGGACAUGGAGAAGGCUAUACUGCAGGCCAGCCUCGAAGCCUUAGAGAUCGAAAAGGAGGCUGGUGCAGCUCUUGCGUAGACUACAUCUUUAUAGGCUGCAGCUAAUAGCUCUCAUCCCUCAUGACCAAGAUCCUCAGAGUCACCACACACAGUCAGAGACAGAACAGGGGAGUAUGUGAAAAAACAGAAUCAGGUAAUCACCCAUUCCACUUCCCCUUUCCUGCACAGCACUACAGCUGGUGUCACAAUAAAUGUUACGGGACAGCCAUCACCAAUGAAAUUCGACAUCCCGGAGAGGAGCCAUUCACAAAAUAAUGAUCAGGCUAUUCCACCUACAACAUAUGGACAGACACAUUACAGCUACCACCCAGCAGCAACAGAUCCACCUGUUCCCCAAACUCAGGUAAGACUAUCAGUCCAAAAGCAGUUUCCCAAAAGGUAACCAUCUUCCUCAGUCAGACACUCAGUUCAUCCAGACCAUCCUCCUGAGCAGAGCUCACAACAUCUGUAUCAGACUGAGACUAGCCACAUUGCUGACUUCACCAAAUAUGUAGCCCGGAGAAAGCUAGUAACCACUAGGAUUACCAAGUAUGAUGACCAACCGGAAAAGUUCAUGGCAUGGGAGUCCUCUUUCCUUCAUGCCAUUCAUGGCCUCGAUCUUACAGGCAAGACGAGAAACAAUCCCAGUUUCAUUCUGUCAAGCAGUAGUUGUGGUUCAACCGAAAGGUUUACAUUAAGACAGGAUCCCGGAAAGACCAGAAUAACAGCCCACAAGACAGAUGUUUCUUCACCAACUGAGGAGAAGUCUACCUGCAGAGCAGAGGCAGAGAGGCGGGAGAGUGACCUUGACAAGUUCUGUCCCAUCCACAAGAAGCCCCGUCCUCUAACAAAAUGUAGAGUCUUCAGGUCAAAGCCACAGACAGACUGCAAAGUAUUCCUGCAAGAACACAAGAGGUGUUGCAAGUGCUUUUCUGCAACUCACAGAGUGAGAGACUGUCAUGUGGUUCUGAAGUGCAAGUCCUGAAGUCCCUAAUGAGGACCUGUGCUGCCAUCAAAGAGAUGACUGGAAGGAAAGCAGUCGGAUUCGCGAUCGAAGCAGUGGUGGUGAGUGUUUUGACCUUCCACCUCUCAUUGAAUGUAAUGAGAUAAUGAGCAACAGGUCAGAAAUCGCAACACCAGAGGUUGCCCUUCUGCAAACCCACUUAAAGUCUGUAGCAUCUUACCUCCCAAAGUUAGAUCCUGAUGCUGAAAUCUUACCGUUGUUGGGAAGAGACAUGAUUAGAGUACAUAAGGUGAGACAAACGGUAAAUGGCCCCAACAACACACCUUUUGCUCAGAGCCUAGAUCUACGCUGGGUAAUCAUUGGAGAAGUAUGCAUUGACAAUGCCCAAAGUCCGACAAGAGUCAAGGUCUACAAGACAAAUAUCCUUUAGAACGGACGGUUGUCAAAUCUCACUCCUUGCCAGAAUUGCAUCAACGUUAAAGAGAGUGCAAGCUAUGGCAGGGAGUCAGAACUUGGAAUCUUUCCCCGUGUGCUCAAACGCAUUCCCUUGAAAGAGAGGAUAAUUGACGGCGGGGGUCUACUGUUUAUCCUCACACGCCCAAACACUCCCAUGUACCAGCUGAGGACAAACUUGAUCACACUGUUUUCAAAAAGACAGAGAAUGACAACAUGUGUGCCAUGUCAUUGGAGGAUGAGGUCUUUCUCGAAGUCAUGCAGAAGACUCCUACAAAGAUGAACAAAGCAGCUCGGUUGGCCCUCUGUCUUAAAGAAGACACCCAGACCACAGGUAACCACCCUCCACACUCAAAAGCAAGGUCUAACAGCUCCACCACGUGACUUCACAGAAAAAGAUCUCUUCAAGUCUCAGUGGAAACAAGUGCAAGCGCUUGCUAAUGAGUUUUGGGCCCGCUGUAGGGAAAAGUAUCUCAGCACUCUUCAAUCGAGGCGCCAAUGGCUUAUAGCACAUUGAAACCUGCAGAGAGGAGACAUCAUGCUUCUGAAGGAUAACCAGCUCCCUCGUAACGAGUGGCCGAUGGGACUGGUCACCUCAAUCUUCCCAAGCAGUGAUGGUAAGGUUGGGAACAUAGAGGUCAGGAUAACCACUCUGGACACUGUCAAGACAUUCCUCCUACCUGUGUCUGAGGUCAUCCUACUUCUUCCCAAUGAGAACUAAGGAUCAUUAGAAAAUGACAAUGCAAGUAGAGGAGUGACAUUUGCACAAUGUCAGGUGGGAAGUGUUCUGCCCUGCCAGAUGUCAUGCAGUAUUCUUCUGUUUUGCAUAUUUUAUGAUAAUUUUUACUGUUAAUCAGUUAAAUUUGUACACAGCCUUGUUAAUUUAAUGCUUUAGUGUAAUUCUGACUUCUGAGUGGCAGCACUCAUUCAUUGGUUCCUAGUACAUUUACAGGGAAGAUCCAAACUUCCUUUGUGUACCAAGCAGCAACCGAACGCACAUGAAGUUCAUCGUCAUAUUGUCCAUUUUCGUGUAUGCUAGCCUUCAGAAAGCAUUGGCUGUAAGUUUGUUGUGAUGCACUAAGCCCAAUCUUUGAUGUUCAUGUUGGUGUGUUGUAUGGGAAUGCAAAUAUGUUCACUUUGAUUUUGUGCAUAGCCUAGCUAAUUAGCUACUCUUUGUUCAUUGUAUGUCAGAUGUCAGGCUGGCUGUUUAGCUAUUAGUGUGGAUUUUUAUGUUAACCUACCUAUCGUAAUAUCUGUCUAUAGGAUUUUCAAUUGGUUAACACUGUUAGUUUAGGUUGGUAUUUUGAUACAUUUUAUUGAUGUACAGUACAGGCUGAAUGGACGUGCUGUAUAUUUCUUGUCACUGUUUACAGUUUCACUCUGCUUCAAUUGUUCAAUAAAGCAGCUACAGAA